GGAAAUGUAACUCAGUGUUAGAGCUAUUGCCUAAUAUGCACAAGGUCCUGGGUUCAAUUCCCAGCACUGCAA
rnacentral:tRNA from 1 species